GUCCAGAUGACGAGUCCGAAAUAGGACGAAACGCGCGUCAUGGAU
rnacentral:hammerhead_ribozyme from 1 species